rnacentral:rRNA from 1 species
UGGGGAAUUUUCCGCAAUGGGCGCAAGCCUGACGGAGCAAGACCGCGUGAGGGAGGAGGGCCCUUGGGUUGUAAACCUCUUUUCUCAGGGAAGAAGAAAGUGACGGUACCUGAGGAAUCAGCCUCGGCUAACUCCGUGCCAGCAGCCGCGGUAAUACGGAGGAGGCAAGCGUUAUCCGGAAUUAUUGGGCGUAAAGCGUCCGCAGGUGGUUGUUCAAGUCUGCUGUUAAAGCGUGUAGCUUAACUACAUAUAGGCGGUGGAAACUACAAAACUAGAGUGCGUUCGGGGCAGAGGGAAUUCCUAGUGUAGCGGUGAAAUGCGUAGAGAUUAGGAAGAACACCGGUGGCGAAAGCGCUCUGCUAGGCCGCAACUGACACUGAGGGACGAAAGCUAGGGGAGCGAAUGGGAUUAGAUACCCCUGUAGUCC